AACGAACGCUGGCGGCAUGCCUAACACAUGCAAGUCGAACGAGACCUUCGGGUCUAGUGGCGCACGGGUGCGUAACGCGUGGGAACCUGCCCUUAGGUUCGGAAUAACUCCCCGAAAGGGGUGCUAAUACCGGAUAAUGUCUUCGGACCAAAGAUUUAUCGCCUUUGGAUGGGCCCGCGUUGGAUUAGUUAGUUGGUAGGGUAAAAGCCUACCAAGGCGACGAUCCAUAGCUGGUCUGAGAGGAUGAUCAGCCACACUGGGGCUGAGACACGGCCCAGACUCCUACGGGAGGCAGCAGUGGGGAAUAUUGGACAAUGGGCGAAAGCCUGAUCCAGCAAUGCCGCGUGAGUGAUGAAGGCCUUAGGGUUGUAAAGCUCUUUUACCCGGGAUGAUAAUGACAGUACCGGGAGAAUAAGCUCCGGCUAACUCCGUG
rnacentral:rRNA from 1 species